rnacentral:rRNA from 1 species
AUUGAACGCUGGCGGCAGGCCUAACACAUGCAAGUCGAACGAGUGGCGGACGGGUGAGUAAUGUCUGGGAAACUGCCUGGUAGAGGGGGAUAACUACUGGACACGGUAGCUAAUACCGCAUACCAUCGGAUGUGCCGCGAUGGGAUUAGCUAGUGGGUGGGGUAACGGCUCACCUAGGCGACGAUCCCUAGCUGGUCUGAGAGGAUGACCAGCCACACUGGAACUGAGACACGGGCCAGACUCCUACGGGAGGCAGCAGUGGGGAAUAUUGCACAAUGGGCGCAAGCCUGAUGCAGCCAUGCCGCGUGUAUGAAGAAGGCCUUCGGGUUGUAAAGUACUUUCAUCGGGGAGGCGUUACCUGCAGAAGAAGCACCGGCUAACUCCGUGCCAGCAGCCGCGGUAAUAC